rnacentral:lncRNA from 1 species
UCCGAGUGACAUAAACUUUUGCACACACAUCCCAAAUCACCUAAUGAAGCUACUUCAACUCUCGAAAUUCCAUUCUGAUCCUCAGAUCAAAAUCUCACCUAUCAACCAGAAAUCGCCGAAAUACUAGUUUCGCCAAUUCAAGCUAAAUUCCACACUGGACCUCCAAAACCAAUUCCGAUCACGCUCCUAAGUUAUAAAUCAUACGAAGAUGCUAAACAAAUCAUAAAAACUCCGAUCUGAGCUCUUAUACACAUAAGUCAUCUCUUGGUCAAAUCUUUCAAAUUCAAAGUUUUCAACUGUAAC